CAUAAUUCUACACAUAGACUAGAAGGAAAGGUUAAUAGCAUUUGCAGAGCAGUGGGAUUAGCAAGGCGGGGACAAAACAGUAGAGACGAGACAGGCAGAGCUGACAAAUGCCGAGUGCAAUUCCAGGAGAACUGAAUCUAUUACACCACGAAAGAGAGUUGGGGUCCUGUGGUCCCUAGCACCAGAAAGUGAUAGGGAAGAUCCAAAACAAGCAUUGCACAAUGUAACUGUAGCCAGCAGUAGCAUUCCAUUAGAACACCUCUCUAGGCUUCUGGAAAGCAUACAUUAACACAUUAUCAUCAGGACAUUGAUCUGGAGAUGGUUCCUUUAUU